CUACGGGACGCUCCAGUGGGGAAUAUUGCACAGUGGGGGAAACCCUGAUGCAGCGACGCCGCGUGAGUGAAGAAGUAUUUCGGUAUGUAAAGCUCUAUCAGCAGGGAAGAAAAUGACGGUACCUGACUAAGAAGCCCCGGCUAACUACGUGCCAGCAGCCGCGGUAAUACGUAGGGGGCAAGCGUUAUCCGGAUUUACUGGGUGUAAAGGGAGCGUAGACGGUGAGACAAGUCUGAAGUGAAAUCCCGGGGCUCAACCCCGGAACUGCUUUGGAAACUGCCUGACUGGAGUGCAGGAGAGGUAAGUGGAAUUCCUAGUGUAGCGGUGAAAUGCGUAGAUAUUAGGAGGAACACCAGUGGCGAAGGCGGCUUACUGGACUGUAACUGACGUUGAGGCUCGAAAGCGUGGGGAGCAAACAGGAUUAGAUACCCUGGUAGUC
rnacentral:rRNA from 1 species